rnacentral:lncRNA from 1 species
AUGUUUGGUAACAGUGUUAUGAGAACUCUGGUAUUUAACGUGAGUCUAGCCAUCUUGAUCUCUGUUAUUUAUUUAUUUAUUUAUUUUUGCCUCUUUUUCUGCACCCAUCUGGCUUCCUUACAGUCUAUUUUGUACCUUUUCUCUUCCUCAUAGUUUCUUCUGUAUCUAUAAUUUCUGAUUUUUACCACCUUCGGCUUGCUUAUAGGUUUGAUUUGCUCUUGGCUCCUCCUAAGACAUCUUUGAAACUUUGGCUCCCAAUAUUUGUGGCCUCAUCUAUACUCUGCCAUUUAAAAUUCCUGAUCUUAUUAGACCCAGAUGUAGUGGGUUGAAUAGUGACCCCCCCCAAUUCAUGUCCAUUCAGAACCUCAGAAUGUGACCUUAUGUGGAAUAAGGGUUUUUGCAGAUGUAACUAAGCAUGGAUAUCAAGAUGAGACCAUCCUAGAAUAAGGUGAACCUGAAACCAAUCCCUAGUGUCCUUCUCAGAAACAACAAAGGAAAAGAACUAGAGUCACAGGGAGGGAAAGGCCAUGUGAAGAUGGAGGCAGAGGUUAGAGGGCAGCACAAGCCAAGGGAUACCAAGAAUUGUCAGCCAUCUGAAGCCAGGUGAGAGGUAUAGCAUGGAUUCUCCAUCAGAGCCUCCAGAGUGAACCAGCCCUGCCAACAUCAACAGACUCUGGCCCCUAGAACUGUGAGAGAAUAAAUUUCUGUUGUUUUAACUCUUCCAGUUUGUAGUAAUUUGUUAUGGAAGCUACAGGAAACAUAUCCCAGCUCAUUUCUGAGGGCUUUCAAUGUUCUUCGGCCACUGGCAGGGCUGUGGACUGACCACCCCUGGGUGUAGUGCUUAGAGCUGGGUCAUCAGUAGGGUUAUGGAAAAUGUGAUUUCCUUUGAAAAAAAAAAAAAGUGUGAUUUUCCUUUCCUUUGGAAGUGGAUGUGGGAGACAUGUAACUUGCAUAUCCAGAACAAUUUAAAGCUUGGCUGCCAGGCAGUCAUACUCUUCUUCCCUUGCAGACCAAAUGCCUCACUUGAUGAGACCCAGUUCUCCCACACAGCACCGCCUGUGUUCAAUGGGAUGACCAUUUGGAGGUGAUGUCACAGGGGCAUUUCAGCACUUACUUGUCACUAUCAGAGUCCUCAUUUUCUGGGCAAUGUCCAUUUCAAAGUCUUCUAUUUAACUGAAAUACUGAUUGGUGUUACAUCUUGUUAUUCAGUAUCCUCUGAAUGAAACUGAAGGUCUCCAAUCUGAGUGUGCUCUACUUAAAUCAUUGUAACAAUAAUGCAUUAAAAUAACUAUAUAUAUAUAAAAAAAAGGGAGUUCCCGUCGUGGCACAGCGGAAACGAAUCCGACUAGGAACCAUGAGGUUUUGGGUUCCAUCUCUGGUGUUGCUCAGUGGGUUAAGGAUCUGGCGUUGCCGUGAGUUGUGGUGUAGGCUGCAGAUGCAGCUUAGAUCUGGCGUUACUGUGGCUGUGGCGUGGGCCGGCAGUAACAGCUCCGAUUAGACCCCUAGCCUGGGAACCUGCAUAUGUCGCAGGUGUGGCCCUAAAAAAACAGAAGACAAAAAAUAAAAUAAAAUAAAAUAACUAUAGGUGUAGGGAAUUCUCUUGCAGAAAAAUAGGUUAAAGUUCUGGUGUUAUCACUGCAGUGGCUUGGGUCACUGCUGUGGUGCAAAUUCAGUCCCUGGCCUGGGAACUUCCACAUGUAGCAAGUGGGCCAAUAAAAUAAAAUAAAAAGCUUUAAAAAAAAGCUGUAGGUAUAAACCUAUGGAGCAAGAGUUGGCAAAGUUUUUCUUUAAAGCUCAGAUAGUAAAUAUUUUAGGCUUUUUUGACAUAGCUUUGUGGGCUAUGUCAUUUCUGUUGUAACUAUUAUAGCAAGAAAGCAGUUGUAGACAGUACAUAAAAUGAAUGAAUGUGGCUGUCUCCCAAUAUAUGGGGACAAUGAAAUUUGAACCUCAUGUAAUUUUCACAUGUCAUGAAAUAUUCUUCUUUUGAUUUUUUUCCCUCCAACUAUUUAAAAAUGGAGAAAACUAUUCUUUGUCAGGCAGUGCAGAGUUCCCAUUGUGGCUGGGUUAAGAACCUGACAUAGUGUCCAUGAGGAUGUGGGUUUGAUCCCUGGCCUUGCUCAGUGGGUCAAGGAUCUGGCAUUGCUGUAAUGUAGGUCACAGAUGCAGCUUGGAUCAUGCAUUGCUGUUGCCCUGGGGUAGGCUGGCAGCUGCAGCUCUGAUUCAACCCCUAGCCUGGGAACUUCCAUAUGCCGUGGAUAUGGGCUAAAAAGGAGAAACAAAAACAAUAAAACAGGCAGUGGGACACACUUGGCACAUAGUAUGCCAACUUCUGCUAAGGAAGAUGCUUGGUGUUUCUUGUCCACCCAAAGCUACCCCCUUGUUUUGCUAUGGGAACCCUAAUUUCAUUUGGGGAAUCUUUUUCCCACCUUCAGCUCUGAUUGAAAAUGGUCAGUCUCUCUGCUUCAGGUUGUGCUACAGGAGAUACGGUCUUGGCUAUAGUGAUUGGUUCAACCAGAGUGAAUACUGUAGUUGUAUGGGAUCUCCUUUCCGUCUUUCCACAGAAACUUGUAGCAAUAAGGACUUGAUUGUAAGCCUAGAGAUGCCAGAGGCUACCACAUGAAUCUUAAGAAUGAAGCUGACACAGCAGAAGGCUGAGCCAAGAAACUAAGAGAAACUGAAUUUUGAUUACAUUUUUUGGAGCUCCUGGAUUAAGCCACUCAUGACACUAAACAACCCCAAGGUUUUUCCGCUACACAAGUAAAUAAAUGUUCUUUCCUAUUUAAGUGCGUUUGAGUUUGGGUUCUCUGUCACUCACAAUGAGAUACUAACUGAGGCAAAGCCUUUUAUCUCUAUAAUGUUUAUUAUGAUAAUACAGCAAAAAUUUUUUUUUAAUUAGAUGCCAAUCUAAUUACCAAACCAGAAAAGUUCAAACCAACAAUGUUAUAGACACUAUUGUUUUACUAAAACUGAGUUUCUUUUCCCAGUGUGAAUAUGGCAUUGGCCAAUAUGUUGUGAGUUGUUUGGAGUUCUCCUGCCUUUGUGUCCUACACAUAAGGUGUGUGCUAUGUAAUGAAUCAUUUCUUCAUUGCUUUUCUCUAUUUGAACUAUUGCAAAACCUUCAUUCACAGAACUUGCUGUGACAGCAUUCAGUCUUCUCUUGGUACAAAUGCAUAAUUUACAUUAUAAGUCAGCCUCUGCUUUCCUCAGUUGUAAAACAAAGAGCAUAGGCUUGCCUUUCAAAUUAUAUUGAUAUCAAAGUCAAGUUUCAUUUUAUUAAAUUACCUAAGAUGAAGUCUUUGAUCUAUGAAAAUAUUUUUCAACCAUGAAUAGAAAAUAAAGCCUUGUGCUUUUAAUGAGACAAAUUUAGCUGCGGUGAUUGUGUUAAGUAGCCAUUGGGACAUGCUAACUCUCAGUAAGUUGACAAGCCUGUGAUGUCUAAACCUGCUUCAUUCAUUUGUGGCCCUGUUUCUGCACCUUCCACUAAAUGCACUUGUGUUCCAUGACUCCUUUCUUUGAUGUGGUGUAUUACUUCUGUUAGGGAUUUUAAACCAAUUGCACAAUUUGUCAGAGUCUCUUUGUCUACAAUUGCAUAAAGUCUUCAUACUGCUUUUCAGUUGGAAUACCAUAAUCUGUACUUGUGCUAGACUUAUUUUAACCAGUAUAUUAGUUACUCAUCGCUCCAGAAAUCCUGCAAAGAUCUCAAAAACACUGUGGCUUUAAUAGGAAGCAUUCAUAUUCUUGCUCACAGGCCUGUAGGUAAGCAGAGGUACUUCUGCUUGAGGCCGCAGGUCAGCUUGUCUUGGCUUUUGGCUUUAGGUCAAGUGUAGGAUUGCCUGUGUGUCUUACUCUGGGGCCCAGACUGAAGGGCAGCAGCUAGCCGGAGCAUGCCUUUUCAUGGUGAUCACAGAAGUGCUAAAGUCUGAGCCAGAGAAUGCAAGGAUGUUUAAGUCCUUUGUGCAUGUCAUGUCCACUGACAUCUUAUUGACCAGAGCAAGUUACAUGGCAUAGCAUCGGCAGAGUGAAGAAACACAGCCUAAGUGAUGUAGGUUUACAUGGCUGAGGGAUGGAGAGGAGAAUUGUGAACAAUAAUGCAAUCUAGUACAUAUGGCUUCACUUUAUAUGAACUCUGUCUCUGCUCCUCCAACCCUCUGAUCUCAAUUUCUAUUGCUAAUAUGCCCUGUGGGAGUGAGAGGGCUUUCUAUAGCUAGUUUGGAUUUUGAAGGAAGAGAAUAGUUUCCGUAUAGCUUAAUGGUCAUAAAUCCAUUAGCUGUAAAGCGGAGUUUCCAUUUGGCUCAACCUUGUGACUGCUUUGUUGAUUUAUUUUUAUAAUGAAAUUAGUAUUUUAGAAUGUAUUAAGAUUUAAUUUUGUGUUUAAAUGUGAUAAAAAAUAAAAAUGUACAUAAUUCUAUUGUUUGAUGGAUCCUUAAAUAUAGUGUAACUAGUAAGACAUCAGGGGUCUCAUUCACAGCCAGAUUUGUAGGACCUAGCAUAGCGUUGGGCACGUAAGGUUUGCCUAAUAGGUAUUUGUUGCUUGAAGUACAUUGCUUUCUUAUUUACUAAUGAAUAUUACUGAUCAACAGGUAGUAACUUGUACAUGAAUAAGCAUUUUCUUUUUUAAUAUAAUGAUGUAUAUAUAAUUAAUAUCCUGCAACUUCAUUGGUCUGUUGACUGUACUAAAAAAAAAAAGUUUCUAAUGUUAUGUAUAGGAAAGUGAUAAGUUUGUGUUUGCUCUUAUUAGGACUAAUUGUUGGUUGGAGUUCCCAUCAUGGCUCAGCGGAAAUAAACCUGACUAGUAUCCAUGAGGACAUGGGUUCGAUCCCUGGCUUUUCUCGCUCAGUGGGUCAGGGAUCUGGUGACGCGUGAACUGUGGCGUAGGUCGAAGAUGUGGCUCAGAUCCCGCGUUGCUGUGGCUGUGGUGUAGGCCGGCAGUUACACCUCCAGUUCAACCCC